GGCGGGAAAGGCCGCGAGUGAGCGUGAGGAGUGUCGCGUGAGCGAAUCUGACGAGGCCGGAAGGGGCCGGGGGAGGUUGCUAGACGUUGCACUUGAUGUUUCUUUACCGUCAUUUUGAUCUCUCUGACCGGAUUGAAGAGCCCUGUAGGGAUCCCGAGGCCCGGGGAAGGGUGACUUGACUUUGGGAGACCUGGAACGUUCCCAACCGUGGGGACCCAGGAAACUGCCUACAGCCACCUUGACUCUCCUGGUGCGAGUUUGAGCCUGGCCCCGGCCCCGGCCCAGGCCCCAGCCCCAGCCCCGCAGGACGGGCCAUCAAGACGGUGAAAACUCCAGUCCAGCCCCACCACCAGCCUCUUGGGGACCGAGACUCGUUUCCUGCUCUUGGAGGAACCUGAACCCUAGCUCCCUCUUCUCCUUUCGGAGGCUGUAGUUCUGGGGAAGGAGUGGAACACAGAGGUCCGUGUUUACAACGCGAAUGCAUUCUGGGAAUCAGAGAAGGGCUGCUUUGUAUUUUGAGGUAUGUUCCAUUUCAGCUGCUGGCAAACUAGUAGCAGUGAAGAUUUGUGCCUCUCAGG